UACGUAGGGGGCAAGCGUUAUCCGGAUUUACUGGGUGUAAAGGGAGCGUAGACGGCAUGGCAAGUCAGAUGUGAAAGCCCGGGGCUCAACCCCGGGACUGCAUUUGAAACUGUCAGGCUGGAGUGCAGGAGAGGUAAGCGGAAUUCCUAGUGUAGCGGUGAAAUGCGUAGAUAUAUGGAAGAACACCAGUGGCGAAAGCGGCUCUCUGGUCUGUAACUGACGCUGAGGUUCGAAAGCGUGGGUAGCAAACAGG
rnacentral:rRNA from 1 species